CUAGCAUGUCCCGUUGCGGAGGUUUAAAGACCCCGGGGGGAGGGGGUCGCCCGUCCGCCUUAUGUUUUGUUCUUUUUUGGGCUUCCCUGGUGGCGCAGAGGUUAAAGCGUCUGCCUGCAAUGUGGGAGAACUGGGUUCGAUCCCUGGGUCAGGAAGAUCCCCUGGAGAAGGAAAUGGCGACGGAGGAGCUUGGUGGGCUACAGUCCACGGGUCGCAAAGAGUCGGACACGACUGAGCGAGUUCACUUUCACUUUCUUUCAUACAGUUUUUACAGCUGGAAUUUCAUUCUUUGUCCCAGUGUUAUGAUGUACUCCUGUUGAAGAAUAACAUCCAUUAAGAUGUGAGCUACCCAACUUAAGUAUGCAAGUCCGAGUCAACUGGCAGGAGAGAAACAUGCUGAGAUUUGGAUUUUUGAGGAGAUGGAACUACUUCUCACUUGUGCUGCAAAUACAAGAUCAGAGGGAUACCAAGACUUGAAAAGCUUGGAGAAACUUUCUCCAAAGACUUUGGGACCGACUGGUGGUCAUCUCAUGACAUUCUGGAAGGAUCUCAAGGCAUGAAGGGAUUCUGGUGAGGCUUGGAGGAAGGAUGUAGUCAGACUGGAAAGGCUGUGAGUAUCUUGGAAGCCCCUAGGGCACAAUUCUCCUCCAGACAGAGGCAAAUGCAGGCUACAAUUUCUUCCUGAUCUCCACCCACAGUGGCACAGACAUGUAGGUCUGGUUCCUGCUAUGGGUGGUCUCAGUUCCUCUUCUGAUUUUCACAAGUGAUAUGGGUCAACAUAGG
ensembl:lncRNA